GUUGAGCUAUAAAAGCGCAGGAACAGCGCCUCACUGUCUUUUUCAUUCGGGAUAGAAGGAGAAGAAUGUGUUUUUGUGGGUUAUUGAAAAAGUGGUCGCCUAUCUAAGCCAACAGCAUGGAAGAGGUACAAGCUGCGUUUUUCACUCAAGGUACAUUUCGAUUAAUGGAAACUUGAUCCACAUUAAGACCAAACGGGAACUAUCAUGAUGCUAUGAACAAGGAGAUGCAAUAUGGAACUAAAGUGACUUCAAGUAAUUAGCUCAAGUCUGCAUCAGAAACCACAUGUAGUGAGAAUCGGCUCUAUUAAUUGCUCCUGUUUGUCAGGAAGCUGAAGCUUAUUUGCUGCAGUUGGUAAAACAAGCUCCAUUGGGCAGAAUUGUAAGAGUAUACAGGUGUCAUGGUGUGCACACGUGUUAUGUUGCAUGGAGCUCCUGCACUUACGAAAAGACAUCCGCCUGUGGAAGAUGACAUCUUUUUAAGUAAUGGGGAUAGGAGGGAACUGAAGGUCCUGAAAUAAAGCUGCAAUGUCAACCAGUAAUACUUUAAUCAAAUGUUUACAAAAUUUCAUUCUUUUCAUGUAACUUAAAUUGGUUGCACUAUGAAAUAUUCUGAAUCUGUCAGUCUGCUACUCCAAGUAUGGAAGAUGAAAUAGUUAAUCUUUCCAAUGACAGUCGUGCCUGUUGCAGAGCAACUAGAGCAGCUAAUGAGGCAUGAGCAGAUUGGAAUGUCAUUACUCAAUGUUUACUAUUACAAGUGUUCAAUAAACUUAUUUAAAA